GACGAACGCUGGCGGCGUGCCUAAUACAUGCAAGUCGAACGCAUUUUCUUUCACCGUAGCUUGCUACACCGAAAGAAAAUGAGUGGCGAACGGGUGAGUAACACGUGGGUAACCUGCCCAUCAGCGGGGGAUAACACUUGGAAGCAGGUGCUAAUACCGCAUAAUUCCAUUUACCGCAUGGUAAAUGGAUGAAAGGCGCUUUUGCGUCACUGAUGGAUGGACCCGCGGUGCAUUAGCUAGUUGGUGGGGUAACGGCCUACCAAGGCUGCGAUGCAUAGCCGACCUGAGAGGGUGAUCGGCCACACUGGGACUGAGACACGGCCCAGACUCCUACGGGAGGCAGCAGUAGGGAAUCUUCGGCAAUGGACGCAAGUCUGACCGAGCAACGCCGCGUGAGUGAAGAAGGUUUUCGGAUCGUAAAACUCUGUUGUUAGAGAAGAACAAGGAUGAGAGUGGAAAGUUCAUCCCUUGACGGUAUCUAACCAGAAAGCCACGGCUAACUACGUG
rnacentral:rRNA from 1 species